CACGGUGUGGCUAACACUCGUCUGGCUGGCCUAUCUCCCGCUGGGCAUCUGUUCCUGGGGAGCCAGCAGCCGUGCUUGCCUCUGGAAGGGCCUUUUUUGCUGUCCUGUCUUGACAUUUCUUUCCCACAGCUCACUGUCCCUCCCUUCCGUUGCGUCACUGUCUCUCCUGUGACCUCUUCUAUCUCUCCCUGGAGUCCUUAUUUCAGGGAGACUAACCUUCUUUUUCAUUUUCUUGAGCUUGUAGAGAAAAGUGCAUCCACAAUUUUCUUUUACUUCUGAUAGAUAUUCUUCACCUGCCCUCCUGCUUGUUGCCACACUCUUCCUGGAGAAUUUCUCAGCUCAGGAGAACAGUUCCCUCUGGAUGAGCUAUUUGCUAAGAACGGUGUUGGGGGAAAGAUAGAUGGAGGAAUGAGAGCAGUAGCCUAACUCGGGAGUUGUUGGAAGGAUUUUCUCAACACUCCACAUCCCCCGAGCAAGGAUGGGAUCUGCUUACUGAUCUCGGUGGUCCGUAUCAUGGUAAGCAGGCCUGUGUGGAGCAAAGCCCUGAGGUGCCAGGGUACUUGGGGUAUCAGAGCAGCUGAUACUGAGCCGACUGCCAUGAAGAUUCCUUCUCCGACCCCUGCACUUUGAGGAAAGACUGGGCAUCUGGAUGGUUUUCUUCCGACCUGUCUCACCUGCGGUGCCAGGUCUGGAGCAAGGCUCAGGAUUCUGAACUUAAUAUGCUCUCCAGAUGAUUCUAAUGUGCAGACAACAUUUUAAAAGAAAAAUGAUAUAGAAAAUCCGAGUGACCCACCAAAUAAGGUGUUAAAGGACUCAUGUGAGAAUUGAGGUGGAUCAUGGUGGUGGUGACUCAGGUCUGAAUCUCCCCGAAUUGUCUCCACCAGGGGAGACAGAGCAAACAGCAAAGUGUGGUCUCUGCUGAGCAACCCCAAGCCAGGGUUUGCCCAUGAAGGGCAACUUCCUGCUCAGUCUCUCUUUAUAGAAAUAUUCCAGCCAGGAAAUGAAGAUGGUUUUGUGAAUGAGAAAAUUGUGCUUUGUAGUCCCUGUUGGAGUCAUGAGUUAAGGCCACAGGCAUCACAAAAAGAAUUAGGAAGGAAUCUUGCCAAAAAAGAAAAAAAAGGAACAUGAAUCUGAUCAAACCUUGUGUUCCAGCUACUGAUUUAUAGGAAGUACAAGGAAUAGAGGAAUCAUCGGUGAAAAGCUGACCAUGAGGAGCACUGGAAGACAAAUUAUCCACUUUUUUCCCACAAAAAAGAGACUCCACCCAACGGCAGACUCACAUGGACCUUCACCAGAUAGAACACAUCCAGACCACGUUGGAAUUAAGCCAGUAAAUGGUAACAGAAGGACAGCUGGACCAUCCCCCGAUAUUUGGACACUAAGCAAGACACUUCUAAAGAACGCAUUUGUCAAAGGAGACACCUCAAGAGGGAUCUUAUCGUGGAGGUCCGGACCUGAACCUGAGAAUCUCUAAGAUGCAAUGAAGCAUAUUGGGGUGAGAAGCUCAUCCUGGAUUAUCUGCAUGGACCAAAAUUCCAAUCAGAAGCAUCCUAAGAGAAAGGCAGAUCGUGGUUUAAGACAGAAGAGGGGAAGACUCAGACACAGAAGAGAAGGCAAAAUGAAUGAAGCUGGCAAAGAUAGAGGUAGAUGUUGCAGGGGUGUGAUGACAAGCCCUGGAAGCGGAGGACUGCCUACAGUCCCCAGGAGCUGGAAUAGGCAGGAUGGAUCCUCCCUUGGCGCCUCCAGAGGGAGCAUAGUCCUGCCCACACCUUAAUUUCAGAUUUCUGGCCUCCAAAAUUGAGGGAGGAUAAAUUUCUGUUGUCUAAACCACUAUGUCCAUGGUGAUUUGCUAUGAGAGCUCUAGGAAACCAACACAAUUAUCUUUCAAUGUUCAAUUAUCAAUUCAAGUUUUCCUCUGGUUUUAUUACUUUCUGUGUUUUGUUUCAUAAUCUUUUGGAUUUUUACCUAUAUUUCAUUUUUAGUUUAAAAAGCUUAAAAGGUCAUACCCAACCUCAUUUUCCCAAUGGUAUGAUUUUGUUUUUCUAUAUAUUAAUUGGAAAAUGUAAAGCUGUGAAACUGACACAGUAAUUGAAUGCCUUUAUCACUCGAAAUACAACAAAGUCUAAUAAGUUCUCCAUCAGUAUCACUAACUGAACAAAUCUUCCACAAAUCAAUGACCAGGAGUAAGUUUUCACCCAAGAUACACAAGAAACCACAAACAUAGCAUAGAUUACAGGCUUGGAGGGCACAGAAUGUAGACAUUCCCAGGCUUCGGGAAAAUGAUGAAAUCAGUUUACUCAUUGCUCUUAAAGUUACACAGGAGGAACGGAAUCGUAAUGUAACAUUUCAUUUCCAUUCUAAAUCUUUCUAUAUUGCCCAUAUGCUUAGGAUGGAUGAGGUAUUUUUGCAGUUUUCAGGAUAUAAGUAAAAUAGUACUUUUGGAUUUAUGAUGCUUUUCAGAGGGUGCCCAAUGUACUCAUACCAUAUGCCACGCAUAAUGAGCCAGAUGCUCAUUUUUUUUUACUUCUCUAUUUCAUAACUACAGAGUUGAGCAGUGUUUGCUAGGCUCUGGCACAUGCACAGCACAGAAGCAUGGAGUGAUUCCUCCAGGGAAAGCCCCUGAACAAUAAGGAGUAAGAUUUGGUAGAUAGACAUUCCCAUCUCCUGUCCUUUGGGUGAAUAAUUCUGGGUUCAGGAGGUGUCCACUAAGAAUCAAGGUUCCUUGGGGCACCUGGGUGGCUCAGUCAGUUAAGAGUCUGCCUUCUGCUCAGGUCAUGAUGCUAGGGUCCUGGGAUCGAGCCCCUCAUCAG